AAUCUCAACCAUUAGGGUUUCUCAAUGGCUUGGAUUUGGGUGUUGCCAGUCUUCUGGCUCGCCUUAAAGGAGUUAGCGAGUUUAACAAUGUCCUCUGGAGUAAUAAGUUUCUCUGGAAAGGCUUGUGAAGUUUGCUUCUAAUCGUCUUCGGACAAUUACUUUGA
rnacentral:misc_RNA from 1 species